AGCAGCCGCGGUAAUUCCAGCUCCAAUAGCGUAUAUUAAAGUUGUUGCAGUUAAAAGCUCGUAGUUGAAUUUCGGGAUCAAUAUGUUGGUCGUGCCUUGGUACGUACUGGCAUUAUCGAUUCCUACCUUCUGAAGAACCUCGAUGUCAUUAAUUUGGUGUCUUGGGGAAUCAGGACUGUUACUUUGAAAAAUUGAGUGUUUAAAGCAGGCUCGCGCUUGAAUACAUUAGCAUGGAAUAAUGAAAUAGGACGUUUGAUUCUAUUUUGUUGGUUUCUAGGAUCGACGUAAUGAUUAAUAGGGAUAGUUGGGGGCAUUAGUAUUCAAUUGUCAGAGGUGAAAUUCUUGGAUUUUAUUGAAGACUAACUACU
rnacentral:rRNA from 1 species